UACGGGGGGGGCAAGCGUUGUUCGGAAUUACUGGGCGUAAAGGGCGCGUAGGCGGCCUGCUAAGUCGGAUGUGAAAUCCCUCGGCUCAACCGAGGAACUGCAUCCGAUACUGGCGGGCUUGAAUCCGGGAGAGGGAUGUGGAAUUCCAGGUGUAGCGGUGAAAUGCGUAGAUAUCUGGAGGAACACCGGUGGCGAAGGCGGCAUCCUGGACCGGUAUUGGCGCUGAGGCGCGAAAGCUAGGGGAGCAAACGGG
rnacentral:rRNA from 1 species